GAAAACAGCAUAGGAAUGUAUAGCCUAUUGCUUUAUGUAAUAUAAAUGAUGAUCAUAUGAGAUCUGAGGAUCAUAGAGAAGCAAAGCAUGUCAGAAUACACACAGAUCAUCUGCUGCCUUCAGAUGGGACAUCUGCUGCCACAGAAAUCAUUGCUGGAUGUGGGCAGAACCGAGACAGCUGUGAACUAUCAACACACAGUGAAUUUGAAAAGGCAGCUCUCAAGAGAAUAUCGCUUAGACCCAGAGUUCCUGUGUAGGAGUUAUUGAAUUAAGAUAUCUUUUGUCUUAUAGGCUAUACUUAAUAUUAUAUUACUAAAUACUUGUAUGGAAAUACUUUUUUAUCAGUUACCUAAAAAGAUUUGCAGCAGUCUUUUAUUUUUUUCACAUUGAUGUCUAAAACAAAUGUAAUCUUGUGCAUUCAUGUUAUGUUUAAGAGUUUAGGCCUUAAACAAACAUCACCAGAGGGGGCUACAGACAGCAUUUAAAGCACCUUAUAUACAACACACCAAUUAUUGGCCCCUGAUAAAUGUAUGUGAUUAUCAAAUACAUCCAACUAGUGCAUAUUUAGAAAAACAAUUAAAACCUUGCUGACUGACAAAAGUCCAGUAUGAACACACAUAAUGGUCAUGGGUGUUAUGUUUCCUUCACUUCCUUUACAAAAAGGCUAUUAUACUUCAUUGUUUUUAUGCUGCAGUUUCACUUUAUAUAGAGCAGAUGUUGUGUGUAGUUGCAGGGGAAUAACAGUCCCCCAUCACAUCUUCUGUUUGUGAAGCCCUAUCAUUUACUGCAGAUGUCAUCCAGGGUGACCAUUGCCCCAUCUUGCAACUGCUUGUUGCUGAGAGGCAAGACAAAACAUCAGAUGUCAGUU